rnacentral:rRNA from 1 species
UACGAAGGGGGCUAGCGUUGCUCGGAAUUACUAGGCGUAAAGCGCACGUAGGCGGCUUUCUAAGUCGGGGUGAAAUCCUGGAGCUCAACUCAGAACUGCCUUCGAUACUGGAAAGCUCGAGUCCGGGAGAGGUGAGUGGAACUGCGAGUGUAGAGGUGAAAUUCGUAGAUAUUCGGCAAGAACACCAGUGGCGAAGGCGGCUCACUGGCCCGGUACUGACGCUGAGGCGA